rnacentral:tRNA from 1 species
GCCUUCGUGGUGUAAUGGUCAGCACACUGAGCCGGUAUUUCAGAGGUCCGCGGUUCGAUUCCCGGCGAAGACA